GUGCCCUUGGCCGAUCGGCUGAGGCGUCAGGCUUCCAACCUGAAUAGGCGGGUUCGAUUCCCGCAGGGCACU
rnacentral:tRNA from 1 species